ensembl:lncRNA
CUGGAGUGGGUUGCCAUUUCCUUCUCCACAGGAUGGUGGAGCAGCCACUCUGUUGAACAUUACUGUCACACAUGUGCCUGCUAAGUUGCUUCAGCUGUGUCUGACUCUGUGCGACCCUAUGGACUGCAGCUUGUCAGGCUCCUCUGUCCAUGAGAUUCUCCAGGUUGAUAUUACACGGAGGUUCCAUUAAAAUGUGGAGAAGAUCGCCCCCCAACCCCCUCCCCAGCUGGACAACUCUGAGGCUGGUGAGCAAACAUCCUGGUACCCACGGAGCCCACUGAGUUCACUGCUUUCUAGCUGAUCCCGGAGUUUAAGGGCUCCAGCCCUAGUGUCAUCUUACUCCUCUGGGCCUAUCAGAACCUGACCCUUCAAAGUCCUGGAGCUGAUUCUUGAAACACUGAUUAUUUGUCCCUGUUGAAUCAGCUAUCACACUCCUCAGCUGGCAAAAAUCUCCAACUGGUAUUGGUGAAAUCCACAGUGCACCUUCCAUCAAGUUUCAAAUAGAUCACUUCAAACCCCUCCCAAGAAUUAAUCAAUUUCCUAUCAACCCACUCCAGUAUUCUUGCCUGGGAAGUCCCAUGGACAGAGGAACCUGGCAGGCUACGGUCAAUGGGGUCAUAAAGAGUUGGACAUGACUUAGUGACUAAACAACAACAACAGUAAGUAAAGGAGUUCCUUCAAUGUAUAAAGCCUAUGAGAGAGGAUCUCAAGGCUCAUGGCCUCAUUAUCCCUUGCACUAACUGUGGUGUGGAGAAGACUCUUGAGAGUCCCUUGGACUGCAAGGAGAUCCAACCAGUCCAUCCUAAAGGAGAUCAGUCCUGGGUGUUCAAUGGAAGGACUGAUGUUGCAGCUGAAACUCCAGUACUUCGGCCACCUGAUAUGAAGAGCUAACUCAUUUGAAAAGACCCUGAUGCUGGUAAAGAUUGAGGGCAGGAGAAGAAAGGGACGACAGAGGAUGAGAUGGUUGGAUGGCAUCACCGACUCAAUGGACAUGGGUUUGGGUAGACUCUGGAAGUUGGUGAUAGAUAGGGAGGCCUGGCGUGCUGCGGUUCAUGGGGUCGCAAAGAGCUGGACACGACUGAGUGACUGAACUGAACUGAAUCCCUCUAAUACCCCUGUUUUACCUAUGAGAAAACCCAAGGGAUGACCUCCGAGCAAUAAAAGCACUCUUAUCUUGUGACAGGGUUCCCAGGUGACGCCAGUGGUAAGAAACCUGCCUGCCAAUGCAGGCGACUUAAGAGAUGCAGGUUCGAUCUCUGGGUCGGGAAGAUCCCCUGAAGGAGAGCAUGGCAACCCACUCCAGUAUUCUUGCUGGAGAAUCCCAUGGACAGAGAAGCCUGGUGGGCUGUAAUCCACAGGGUUGCUAAGAGUUGGACACGACUAAAGCGACUUAACAUGCAUCCUCUGACACCCUGUUGUUCCUAAUGCCCACAUGCUACUGACAUCUGUUCCCACUGGAAGCUAAAAUUUUCACUGUAGUUAAUCUAUGCAGUGUAUUUUUCAGUAUUCUACUUGAUAAGGUUAGCCAAUAUCUUUUUGCCUUCACCUGGGACAGACAAUACACUUGUACAGUGAUGCCCCAGGGUUUCACAGCAAGUCCUUACUUUUCUCAAAUCUUGAAAGCUGAUUAGGCUGAUGUAAAGUUUUCUACAGGUUCUACUUUCUUACAAUAUAUAGAUGAUUUGCUCCUAUGCUCUGCUUCUCAGACCUCCUCACAGAAGACAGCAUCUACCUGCUAAGAAUUUGGCCUUAAAGGGACCUAAAAUCUCCAAAGAAAAUUUUGGUUUGCUUAAAUUCAGGUUUGGUAUAUGGGGCACCUGAUCUCAGAACAGGGACUGAGUUCGGACCCAGAUAGGCUUCCUAGCAUCCUGAACUUCCCCAAAUCAAAAACUAAGCACCAGGCUUCCCUCGUGGCUCCGUGGUAAAGAAUCUGCCUGCUACUGCAGGAGACACGGAUUCGAUCCCUGGUCUGGGAUGAUCCCACAAGCCGUGGAGCAACUAAGCCCACGCGCCACAACUACUGAGCCUGUGCUCUGGAGCCUGGGAGCCAGAGUUACUGAUCUCACAUGCCGCAAGCACUGAAGCACUCGCUCCAGAGUGCUCCCCAACAAGAAAAGCCACAACAGUGAGGAGCACGCACACCACAACAAGAGAGCAGUCCCCACUUGCCAAACUCGAGAGAAGCCUGUGCAGCGACAAAGACCCAGCACAGUCAAAAAUGAGAGAAGAAUGAAUGAAUGAAUGAAUGAAUCCACAAAAAGUGGAGCUCACACACUGAGAAAGCAAAACGAAGGCUAAGCGCCAAUUAUGAAAUUGUCUCAGACUAUCUGGCUACUGUUGAAAUGGGACUCCAAAUUUCACUCUUAUGGUCACCCCUAUAUGCUUAUUAAAAACCCAGAAAACUCAACCCCAUUAAUUAAGGAGAGCAAGAUGACACAGACUUUGAAGACCUAAAGAAAAACUUAAUGAGACCACCUGCCCUUGGACAUCCUAAUUACCAGCUUCCCUUUUGCCUCUUUGUAUAUGAGAAGAAAGGGAAUGUCCUCAGAGCACUCACCCCAAAACAUGGGGACCAUCAUCAACCUGUAGGGUAUUAUAGCCAACAGCUGAACCCUAUGGCACAGGGAUCUCUCUUGCCUCAGAGCCUUUCCUGCUACUGCCCUCUGGUUAAGGCCACUGAAGAGAUAAUCAUGGGAUUCCAUUCAACCACCUUUGUACCCCAUGUAUACAGAGAGGUAUACAUGGGGUAUACAAAGGGAUGGAAGCCCUCCUGAAUUCUCAUUCACCCAACGCUUUUCAGUCAGUUGCCUCACCUCGUACGAAAUCCUUUUGCUAACUGCUCCUCACAUAAGCCUUUCACAUUUGCUAACUUCAGCCCUGCUCCUCUUCUCCCCUCCUUCACUACAAAACACCCCAGCACUGCCUGACACUAUCAAAAAGACAGCAUCCAUGAACCAAUACUGGUGGGAAAAUACUAAUAAGACCGUAACAAGUAUUUGCCCUCUUGUCCCAUCUGUCCAAAAUAUAAGCCAGAGAAACCUGUUUGCACUCCUCCCAGACAUCUUGAAUUGCUUAAUGAGCCAUUUGAGGUUUGGCAGAUGGAAUUCAUAUAGCUGUCUCCAUCUCAUGGAUAUAAAUAUGUUUUAGUCAUGGUCUGUAUAUUUUCUCACUGGACUGAAGCCUUCCUUGCAGACAGGCCAUUGCUUCUUCUGUGGCUACAGUUUUGGAAGAGGCAAUCUUUUAGAAAAGAUUAUCCCUACCGUGGGAAACCAUCUUGAACUUUACACUGAUCGUGG